rnacentral:lncRNA from 1 species
CUCAUGUCAAAAAUCAUUUCUAAUCUCAUACAAUACUAAUCCUUUCUUAAGGGUGGUGUCCCAUGGAAGAUAAGGAUAAGGAAGAGGUAGCUUCGAUUCGAUUUCAAAUGUUGGUCGAUGUUUAUCACCAAUUCAGAUUAAAUUUGAAUUAAAUUUUGAAUCAAACUUUAUAUUUAUCUUAUAAACUUAGAGAGGGGUUGACCAACAUUAGAAUGGUAUAAAAAAUUUUACACAAAAAUACUUUAUGCAUGGAGAAAGGU